CCUACGGGAGGCAGCAGUGAGGAAUAUUGGUCAAUGGUCGGGAGACUGAACCAGCCAAGCCGCGUGAGGGAUGAAGGUACAGAGUAUCGUAAACCUCUUUUGUCAGGGAACAAAGGCGGGGACGUGUCCCCGGAUGAGUGUACCUGAAGAAAAAGCAUCGGCUAACUCCGUGCCAGCAGCCGCGGUAAUACGGAGGAUGCGAGCGUUAUCCGGAUUUAUUGGGUUUAAAGGGUGCGCAGGCGGUCUGUUAAGUCAGCGGUCAAAGCCCGGGGCUCAACCCCGGCCCGCCGUUGAAACUGGCAGUCUGGAGUUGGAGAGAAGUAGGCGGAAUGCGCGGUGUAGCGGUGAAAUGCAUAGAUAUCGCGCAGAACUCCGAUUGCGAAGGCAGCAUACCGGCGCGCAACUGACGCUCAUGCACGAAAGCGUGGGUAUCGAACAGGAUUAGAGACCCGGGUAGUC
rnacentral:rRNA from 1 species